rnacentral:rRNA from 1 species
GACGAACGCUGGCGGCGUGCUUAACACAUGCAAGUCGAACGGAAAGGCCCCCUUUUGGGGUACUCGAGUGGCGAACGGGUGGGUAACACGUGAGUAACCUACCCUUGACUUUGGGAUAACUUCAGGAAACUGGGGCUAAUACCGGAUAGGAGCUCCUGCUGCAUGGGGGGGGGUGGAAAGUUUCGGCGGUUGGGGAUGGACUCGCGGCUUAUCAGCUUGUUGGUGGGGUAGUGGCUCACCAAGGCUUUGACGGGUAGCCGGCCUGAGAGGGUGACCGGCCACAUUGGGACUGAGAUACGGCCCAGACUCCUACGGGAGGCAGCAGUGGGGAAUAUUGCACAAUGGGCGGAAGCCUGAUGCAGCAACGCCGCGUGCGGGAUGACGGCCUUCGGGUUGUAAACCGCUUUCGCCUGUGACGAAGCGUGAGUGACGGUAAUGGGUAAAGAAGCACCGGCUAACUACGUG